AGAGUUGAUCCUGGCUCAAACGAACGCUGGCGGCGUGCCUACACAUGCAAGUCGUACGAGAACAGGACUUCGGUCCUUAGUAAAGUGGCAGACGGGUGAGUAACACGUGGGCAACCUGCCCUCGAGUGGGGAAUAACUCAGGGAAACUUGGGCUAAUACCGCAUAAAAUCACGGACUCUCUGGGGUUUGUGAUGAAAGGUGGGGAUCGUGAGACCUACCGCUCGAGGAGGGGCCCGCGCCUGAUUAGCUUGUUGGUGGGGUAACGGCCCACCAAGGCGACGAUCAGUAGCCGGCCUGAGAGGGCGAUCGGCCACACUGGAACUGAGACACGGUCCAGACUCCUACGGGAGGCAGCAGUGAGGAAUCUUGCGCAAUGGGCGAAAGCCUGACGCAGCAACGCCGCGUGGGUGAUGAAGGCCUUCGGGUCGUAAAACCCUGUCAGGUGGGAAGAACGGGUAGUGGGUCAAUACCCCGUUACCUUGACUGUACCACCAGAGGAAGCCCCGGCUAACUCCGUGCCAGCAGCCGCGGUAAUACGGGGGGGCCAGCGUUGUUCGGAUUUAUUGGGCGUAAAGGGCGCGUACGCGGUCAAGCAAGUCAGUUGUGAAAUCCCCUGGCUUACCCAGGGACCUGCUUCUGAAACUGCUUGACUUGAGUCCGGGAGAGGAGAGUGCAUUCCCAGUGUAGCGGUGGAAUGCGUAGAUAUUGGGAGGAACACCAGUGGCCAAGGCGGCUUCUGGACA
rnacentral:rRNA from 1 species